UAGUGUGAAUGUAGAACUGUGUCAGUGUGUGUAAGGACUCCCUGCAGGUUGGCGUCCGACUGCAAAAGAGAUCUCGAGAGCUAGAGAGUUGUUGGUUCCGUAGCAUGCAGUCAGGUCAGCAACUGAGGUCCGUAGCUGCAGGCCCGUGUAGUAGAUCUACUGCCAGUACUGGCUGUAGUUCCGUAGACUAUCUCUAUCAGAUUGAGGUGGCAUGACAUGGUUGUAUUUUGAGCUUCUGACAGCUCGUGCUGUAACGGUGGAAGGACGGCAGCCGGAGCAGGAUUGGGAAUAUGGACCAAGUUAGUUAUCGCUAGUUCGCCAGCAAGUAGUUCUCAUCGAGUGAGUGAAGAGUGUUCCCUCACCGCAUCUACACCACAAACCACCCAUCUCAAACAUCCUCAUCUGUUUUCCUAAGGAGAUGGCUUUUCACUCCAUACAAGGCUGCUCAGGUGCAGUGGUUGUCAUCCGAUGAUGCUCAACAGGCACCAAGUACUCAGUGCUGGUCUAUCAUAACACACCCCUCAUCACUAGACAUUGUAGCAGCAUAGGUAUCAUUGCUGCACAUUGUAGCAGCAUAGCACAUUGUAGCAGCAUAGGUAUAAUUGCUGCGCACUGUCACAGCAAUGAUACCUAUGUAUCAUCAGUGCUGCACACUGUCACAGCAUAGCCUAGGUAUCAUUACUGCACAGCAUAGGUGUCAUCACAGCACCGCGUGUGGCAUUGUAGCAGCAUCGGUAAUUAAUAGUA